rnacentral:lncRNA from 1 species
AGAAUGAAGGCAACAAACUCUACAAAGACCUGAAGGCUUUUGUCGGUGCAGUGAAAGUGAUGCACGAGAGCUCACGAAAAGUGGCCGAAACGCUGCAGGAGAUUUACAGCACCGAAUGGGACGGCCACGUGGAGCUGAAGGCCAUCGCAGACAGCAACGAUUUGCUGUGGGAUGACAACGAGGCAAAGCUGCGACCAGGCGCUGCGCCUGAUGGAGAACUACC